rnacentral:rRNA from 1 species
GACGAACGCUGGCGGCGUGCUUAACACAUGCAAGUCGAACGGAAAGGCCCUGCUUUUGUGGGGUUCUCGAGUGGCGAACGGGUGAGUAACACGUGAGUAACCUGCCCUUGACUUUGGGAUAACUUCAGGAAACUGGGGCUAAUACCGGAUAGGAGCCCCUGCUGCAUGGUGGGGGUUGGAAAGUUUCGGCGGUUGUGGAUGGACUCGAGGCUUAUCAGCUUGUUGGUGGGGUAGUGGAUUACCAAGGCUUUGACGGGUAGCCGGCCUGGGAGGGUGACCGGGUACAGUGUGCUAGGGGAGGCGGCCGGAGGCAUACGGGAGGAAGGAGCGGGGAAUUUUGGGCACAGGGCGGAGUGAGGAAGGAGGGUCGCCGGGUCGGGAAAGACGGCUUUCGGGUUGGAAACAGUGUUCGCGUGUGACGGAGCGUCAGGGACGGUAAUGGGUAAAGAAGCACCGGCUAACUACUU